GUAUUGACAUCUGGGUUGUUUUUUUUUAAAUCGCUUUUUGUAUUUUCUCUUUUAUAUCUGUUGAAUAUGUAUGUUUACUUAAUUGGUUGGUUGUGUUUGUUUGUUUAAAGGACUUAACAUAUGGCUUAACUGAUACAACAGUGGAAGUUUCACAAAGCCAAAUUAAGAUUCAAACGAGUGACGGUAAAGGGGUUUCUCAAUGCUGACUGCUGCGUUUUCUGUGCUCAGCAUCUAAGGCCCAAGCAUGCACACAGUGGACCUCUGAGGCCCAAGCAUGCGCACAGGGGACCUCUGAGGAUCAAACAUGCGCACAGAGGACCUCUGAGGUCCAAGCAUGCGCACAGGGGACUUCUGCGGCCCGUGCUUGACUACAGAACAUGCUCUUACUAGCAAGUAUAUUAGUAGACAACAUACCUCCUGCUAUUGCGCCUUUUGCAGCCCCAUCUUUUGUUACUACUUCUAUGAUGCUGGAGGGGAGACAGGAGCAAGUCGGCCGAUUUUCUCAGAACAGGUUUAAGAGUCAAGAGACCGGAUUCUUGUAGCCUUGUGUGGAAGACAAGCAGACACCAGUAAGUAAACAUCCCCUCUCACCCUUCAGAUAGACCCCCUAGCCACCUACAGGUAUUAUCAUCUUGCUCUCCCCGAAGGCCUCAUGACCAAGAAAAUGAAUGAAGUCACACUUUGGCUCGUUAUAAAUUAUUGAGCUGCUCUUGGCUUGGUCGCUAUGAAUCAAGGGUACAUUAGCAUAUCCCUGCCACUCACUUUCCCACUUGUUACAUUUUUAUGAGUAUUUGCUCUCUCAGAUUUGCUUCGUUCAUUCAUGCAUUCAUUCAUAAGAAGCAAGCACAAACCGGGAAUCCUGUCCCCUGUGAAGGAACAGAAGGCACAUUUCUCCGUACUCCUAAAGGCCUUGCUUGGAAAGGUGGGAGGAAGGGGGAUAGCACACGCCAUGCAUAAGAAAACAGGAAGGCCGUAGGAGUCAUAAAGGGAGGCCCAGAGUGGUCAAGAAGAAAGAGAUGGUUCUUCCUACCUUAGAUGCUCUCAUCGGGAUAAUAGCAUUUAUGCUCGGGUUUAGAUAUAGGCAAACUUUGGCAAUGCAAAGAUGACCCCCACCAGCAGGUAGAAACUACCAGAACAAAGGCUUGGGGGAACCGCUUGACAUAAGAAGAUAAAUGCAGGGGGAAUCUUUGGAUAGAGCAAAAUGGAAGUGAGAAGCAGUCAGAAGGCUGAAAUCAACAAGAGCCUUGGCUUGUCUUCAAACAACAGCGGCUUCAGCAACUCGGCUGCUCUGUCACAUUAAACAAAAGACAGAUUAUCUGAAAAUGUUGAAUUACUUAAAAAAUUAUUUUAAAAUGUC